rnacentral:misc_RNA from 1 species
GGCCAAAGUGGCGCACAACCUGUUAUGCAAUGCAGCAUGCAUCUGCCAUUUUGUAUUUAUAUACACUGUGCCAUUUUGCACCCAUUUUGAAGUGAAGUUACUUCGAUUACUUCGGAGGGUGUGGACGUGGAGUUGGUGUCAGUGUGGAGGUUAUGUUGAUGUUGCAGGUUGGCGUCAGUCUCCACUAUCCAAUCACAGAUGGAUACCAAACGAGGGCGCAUAGCUGGAUCAUAUGGGAAGAGGAUGCUGCUUGCUGCUCUCCACUCCCGUGGCAGACAUAAAGGCGCGCAGCGUCACUCACGUAAAAAUGGACGAGAGGACUUCGACGAGCCAGGCUCUGAAAAUGAGGGCGGUCCGGCUGAUGAUCGCCAAGAGGACGAUGAAGGAGGCCAUGAACAGCGGAAGAAGGACCGCAAAAAAAGUAAGUGAAAGGUUUGG